rnacentral:tRNA from 1 species
GGUGGCUCAGUGGUAGAGUGUUUGCCUUGCAUGUAUAAGGCCCUAGGUUCGAUUCCUCAGCACCA